rnacentral:rRNA from 1 species
UGGGGAAUCUUGGACAAUGGGGGCAACCCUGAUCCAGCCAUGCCGCGUGGAGGACGAAGGCCUUCGGGUCGUAAACUCCUGUCAGUAGGGACGAAAAAGUAGGGUCGAACAGGCCUUGCCAUUGACGGUACCUGCAGAGGAAGCCCCGGCUAACUCCGUGCCAGCAGCCGCGGUAAUACGGAGGGGGCAAGCGUUAUUCGGAAUUACUGGGCGUAAAGGGCGUGUAGGCGGCUUGAUAGGUCAAAAGGUGAAAUCCCUCGGCUCAACCGAGGAACUGCCUUUGAAACCAUCUGGCUCGAGGCUGGGAGGGGGUAGCGGAAUUCCUGGUGUAGCGGUGGAAUGCGCAGAUAUCAGGAGGAACACCGGUGGCGAAGGCGGGUCUC